rnacentral:rRNA from 1 species
CGCCUUUUGAACUAUAAACAUAAAAGGUCUGCCUGCCCAGUGACACUUGUUCAACGGCCGCGGUAUCAUGACCGUGCAAAGGUAGCGUAAUCACUUGUCUUUUAAAUAAAGACCGGUAUGAAUGGCAAGACGAAAGCCUAACUGUCUCCUUAAGCUAAUCAAUGAAAUUGAUCUUCCCGUGCAGAAGCGGGAAUAAUAAUAUAAGACGAGAAGACCCUGUGGAGCUUCAAAAUUAAGCUAACAGAUCAUAUGCCUUAGCAUACAGUUUUGGGUUGGGGCGACCGUGAGGUAAAACACAACCCUCAAGACGAAAACUAAGAAGGACACUUCAAAUAAAUAACAAUAUAGUAAUUGACCCAAUAAUUGAUCAACGGACUAAGUUACCCCAGGGAUAACAGCGCAAUCUGCUCAAAGAGCCCUUAUCGACGAGCAGGUUUACGACCUCGAUGUUGGAUCAGGACUCCCAAAUAAUGUAACAACUAUUAAAGGUUCGUUUGUUCAACGAUUAAAGUCCU